CAUCAAUCAAGUGACCCACACUGAAAAGCCAACAGUAGUCAAAGAUGGCUAUCUGCUCUGUCCAGCUCUUCGUCUACAAGAGGUUGGACAAUCAGUCGAGGUGCUGGUCAGCUUGAACAAUGGAAAGUCCUACAUCUCCAG